rnacentral:rRNA from 1 species
CGGGGGAUAACAUUUGGAAACAGAUGCUAAUACCGCAUAACAAUUUGAAUCGCAUGAUUCAAAUUUAAAAGAUGGCUUCGGCUAUCACUUUGGGAUGGACCUGCGGCGCAUUAGCUUGUUGGUAGGGUAACGGCCUACCAAGGCUGUGAUGCGUAGCCGAGUUGAGAGACUGAUCGGCCACAAUGGAACUGAGACACGGUCCAUACUCCUACGGGAGGCAGCAGUAGGGAAUCUUCCACAAUGGGCGCAAGCCUGAUGGAGCAACACCGCGUGAGUGAAGAAGGGUUUCGGCUCGUAAAGCUCUGUUGUUAGAGAAGAACGUGCGUGAGAGUAACUGUUCACGCAGUGACGGUAUCUAACCAGAAAGUCACGGCUAACUACGUGCCAGCAGCCGCGGUAAUACGUAGGUGGCAAGCGUUAUCCGGAUUUAUUGGGCGUAAAGCGAGCGCAGGCGGUUUGAUAAGUCUGAUGUGAAAGCCUUUGGCUUAACCAAAGAAGUGCAUCGGAAACUGUCAGACUUGAGUGCAGAAGAGGACAGUGGAACUCCAUGUGUAGCGGUGGAAUGCGUAGAUAUAUGGAAGAACACCAGUGGCGAAGGCGGCUGUCUGGUCUGCAACUGACGCUGAGGCUCGAAAGCAUGGGUAGCGAACAGGAUUAGAUACCCUGGUAGUCCAUGCCGUAAACGAUGAGUGCUAGGUGUUGGAGGGUUUCCGCCCUUCAGUGCCGCAGCUAACGCAUUAAGCACUCCGCCUGGGGAGUACGACCGCAAGGUUGAAACUCAAAGGAAUUGACGGGGGCCCGCACAAGCGGUGGAGCAUGUGGUUUAAUUCGAAGCUACGCGAAGAACCUUACCAGGUCUUGACAUCUUGCGCCAACCC